rnacentral:tRNA from 1 species
GGCGACGUCGCCAAGCGGUAAGGCAGAGGUCUGCAAAAUCUCCACCACCGGUUCAAAUCCGGUCGUCGCCUCCA